rnacentral:rRNA from 1 species
UACGGGGGGGGCAAGCGUUGUUCGGAAUUACUGGGCGUAAAGGGUUCGUAGGUGGCCAACUAAGUCAGACGUGAAAUCCCUCAGCUUAACUGGGGAACUGCGUCUGAGACUGGAUGGCUUGAGUGCAGGAGAGGAACGCGGAAUUCCAGGUGUAGCGGUGAAAUGCGUAGAUAUCUGGAGGAACACCGGUGGCGAAGGCGGCGUUCUGGACUGCUACUGACGCUGAGGAACGAAAGCCAGGGGAGCAAACGGG